rnacentral:rRNA from 1 species
UACAGAGGUGGCAAGCGUUGUUCGGAAUUACUGGGCGUAAAGGGCGCGUAGGCGGCCCGUCAAGUCCCGUGUGAAAGCCCCCGGCUCAACCGGGAAACGGCGCGGGAAACUAGCAGGCUUGAGUUCGGGAGAGGGAAGCGGAAUUCCGGGUGUAGCGGUGAAAUGCGCAGAUAUCAGGAGGAACACCGAUUGCGAAGGCAGCUCGCUGGGACGUAACUGACGCUGAGACGCGAAAGCGUGGGGAGCAAACAGG